GGCUCUGCGUCACGCCUGGGCUUUACUCCUGUGGCAAGAGGAGUGUUUCUCUAGGGCUCCCACUCUGCUACACACACACACACACACACACACACACACACACACACACCUCCUGACAGAUACACUCACACACAUGCCUGCCUAGUGAAGGAGUGAGCACACUCAGAUGUAAACACACAGAGUGACGGACGGACUGGAGCACGGAGAGGAUGGAUGAAUGGAUGGAUUGCUGCUGACGAACUAGACAUAAUGGGAGCUUAAACUUGGUGUGCAUGUGUGUGUAUGUGUGUGUGUGUGUGUGCCGAUGUGUGUGUGUGGGUGACACACGGAGAGAGAAAGAAAGAAAGUGUGUGUGUUAGAGGGUCGGCCGGUCAGUGUGUCUGUUACCGUGGCGAUGGAAGGAGGGAGUGUGAACACAGAGGAAUGCUUUCGGUUAUAGAGAGGGAGAGCCGGCCAGGAUGGCCACGCGAGGAAUCUUUCUGAAACCGAACUGAGCACGUACAGACAAACAGGUCUUUUGGUGAGAAAACUGGAAGACUUUUGAAGCUAAAGAAAGGAUCUACAAGCACUUUUCCUUACAGAAAAGUUAGUAUUUACCCUUUGAUAAUACUCAAUAUGUUGUUUACCUUGAUUUACUGUUAACUUAAAAUGCAUCUUCUUUUUGUGUCCUCUCCAGAUCACUCAAGGAUUCUUCUGUCGUUAGAUGUAAACUGGACAGAAAACAACGCAUAGCAACAUUAGUGUUUACACAAUGGCAAAAGGAGAGAAACAUUUCUGAUGUUAUCCACUAAAGCUCCCCUUUUAUUUCCACUUCCUGAUUCCUGUUUCCAGCCUGGCUUUACAAUCAGUCUAUUUCAGCAAUGGACGGGUACUUCCUGUUUCUGUGAACUUGUUGGCAGCCCUCAAAGGUUCAGCUAUCAUGCCUGGUAGUUGUGGGACCUUGUAACCCUCCAGAACCCACCCUCCCAACUCCCCCACCACCCCCUCUCUCCUCCCUCUUCUAAACC
rnacentral:lncRNA from 1 species